CUCCAGACAGUUUUAUUUAUAAUUGUUUUGGAUUGCUGUUUUUUGCUUGAAGAAAUCCCUUUAUGAUAUUGUUAUUUAAGUGAAUGUUCAAUUGUUUUCAGAACAAUUUUUCAUGCUAAAGGGACAAGUACAUAUAAACUUUAUAAAGACAGGAUAACAUUUUACCCUAUUACUAUACAGUUUGUGACCAGAACAUAAAGGAUGGAUAUGAUUUGGAAUUGGGCAUGAAUUUAAACAACUUGAAAAUGUAUUUGAUUUCCUACAGAUUGUGUACUGUGUUUUACGCUAUUAGAGAUCAAUUCAUCAAGUAUUUUUGCCAAAAGUAUAUUUAUUUCGAGUGAAUAUACUUAACACAUUUGAUGAUGUAGAUUAGUAGCAUUUUUUUCGUCCCAGGUUAGUAUUAUCAAGAAUAUUUUUAUUGAAAUGAUAGUCUUGCAUUGGUCUCUUUUCAGUACUCUUUUUACAUGAGCCGGAUAGAGGACAGACUGUACAUAUAACCUCGAAGCGGACAUAAAACCUUAUAGCUACAGACACCAACUCAGACACAUUUCAAUUCACAAGAGAUCAGACAGGAUGUGCGUCAGCAGAUACAGAUGAACACCCAAGUUGCAACAGUAACAAGAAAGAGCCUCAGACUAAGUCACUGAGCGAGAUGCAGAUGGUGUACUAUGCCAAACAGAACAGCUUGGCACAAACAUGAAAAGUUCUACGAAAGAAUCACAGUACAGACUGAUAUGCUCAUUUAAAAAAAUCCAAAAAUGACCUGAAACAUAUCUCCCUUGGCAACAUCUUCUAAAGGUUCCGGAUCCACUGCUGGUUCCCCCACAUCAACCGCAGAUUAUGAAGAACAGCACAGGCAAUGAUUAUGCGGCUGACCUUGGC